rnacentral:tRNA from 7 species
GCCGAAGUGGUGGAAUUGGUAGACACGCCAUCUUGAGGGGGUGGUGGACAAAAUCCGUGCUGGUUCAAGUCCAGUCUUCGGCACCA